CCUACGGGUGGCAGCAGUGGGGGAUAUUGCACAAUGGGGGAAACCCUGAUGCAGCGACGCCGCGUGGGUGAAGAAGGGCCUCGGCGCGUAAAGCCCUGUCAGCAGGGAAGAAAAUGACGGUACCUGAAGAAGAAGCCCCGGCGAACUACGUGCCAGCAGCCGCGGGAAUACGUAGGGGGCAAGCGUUAUCCGGAUUUACUGGGUGUAAAGGGGGCGCAGCCGGCGAUGCAAGCCAGGAGUGAAAGCCCGUGGCCCAACCCCGGGACUGCUCGUGGAACUGCGUGGCUAGAGUGCAGGAGGGUCAGUCUGAAUUCCUGGUGUAGCUGUGCCAUGCUUAGAUAUCAGGAGGAACACCGGUGGCGACGGCGGCCUGCUGGACUGCAUCUGCCGUUGCGGCCCGACAGCGUGGGGCGCAAACCGGAUUAGAUACCCCUGUAGUC
rnacentral:rRNA from 1 species